GGCCUCCCAAAGUGCUGGGAUUACAGGCUUGAGCCACCGCGCCCGGCCGGUUUUCUGCCAUUCUUAACCAAGGCUGCCUCUUCCAACAGGGCGGAAAUCAGACCUACUCCCCUAGGUCACAACUCUGGGAGCGAUACAGAGCCCCCACCCAUCACUGAGUUCUCUGGAUUUGUUCUCAGUGCCUUAGCAACGAAAACCUGUGCUUGUGUGUGUGUGGCUGUGUGUGUGGCGGCGGGGAGGGAGGAUCCUGUCUCCCACCUCCUUCUCCUCCCCUGUACUCCCCAGUGCCUUCCUUGUUCUGGUGGAGCUGGGGUUUCGCUCCUACCCAGUCCCACAACACUGCCAAAAAUCUGUGUAUGUGCCAUUGGGUGGGGCAGUCCCAAGCCUCCUGGGGAGCAGGGCAAAAACAGGUGCCCUCAUCGUGGUCUGUGCCAUGUCCUGUCUCUAUGAUGGUUGAGGAGAAAGGUGGGGAAGCUUCCUCAGUCUUGCAGAUACGUGUGGCAUUUACCAGCCAGAGCUCUGCAAGGCUGUGCUGUCUGUUUCUUGUUCUGGGACCAAAGUAAAAAUCCAAGCACGUUCCCCUUGCACUUAGGGGAGGCCCCACUGCCUUCUCAAAGCAGAGCGGCAGCUUAUCAAACUCAGCCCACAACUUUGUUUACAUGGGUGGGGAGAUGGAACAGGGGAAUACAGAGUGGGAUGGUCAGGACCUGGGCCACUGUGACCAAAAUGGGGACUUCCUGGGUAGGGAGGUCACUCCCUCUACUCACUGAGCUAGAAUUAGGGAGGAUUAUCACCCCAACCGUUGCAAUGGGAGGUGGAGGGACAGGCUCAGCGUCCUCAUUGUCUACAUGAGGCCCAAAUGUGUGAAGUGCGAUUUCUGCUUUUGUGUACCCCACCACCCCAUUACCACAGCUGCCUUUGUGUUUGUGUCAAUAAAAAGCCAAACCCUA